UUAAAAGUUUGUAUAGUCGUCAUAGGGGCUUCAGAAGUUUCAGUGGCUACUUCACUCGAAGAUUCUGUACUUUCAUUCGAAUACGGAAUCGUACUUUGCUCCGUAACGGUAGAAGUAUAUGCUGUGAUAUUAAAAUUAGAUUGUGUAGUUGUUGAAAGUGCAGUCAUCCCGUAAAUUUCUGGUGUCGAAUAAUCGAAAGUUUGCAUAGUUGUGGUAGUGUUUGUACAAGUGUGAUCGUAUUGGUCGCAGCCACAAACAGGCCUGUGUGCUUUAACCCGACAUCGAACUGUCGAUCGACAGUGGCCGACGCAAGGAUCAACGCAGGAUCCAUCGACACAGGCUUCUGUGUCGCUGCAGUCGUCAUCGGACUCGCAGAAACGGUCGGGCGUGUGGUGAAGUACUGCUGCGGAUACAAUAGAAUAUAAACACGCUGAACGAGCCAAGAUAAGUCGAAGUAGCUCAAAGAGGCAGCUGAAAAUGUUUCAAGCGUCACUCUUUUCUCGAUUAGACUAAUCACUACGAUCACGUCAGAUUUACUGGCUUACUCCAAAUAAUAUAAAAAAAAACACACUCUACGAAUUAAUAAUAUUAAGUUAUAUAAGCAUGCUCGCGUAAUAAAUAGACAAGCUAUCGGUCAGAAAUAUAUAAUCGAUUAGGGUCUUUACAGAGACAGAUGUAACGGAGAAAAUAAUAAUCGUUGAACAGUGAGGACGUCGGCAGAGUAAAAGGAGAGUAUAGGUAUCGGGAUGAAUAGUUGUAUAUGUGGCAUUGGAACCUGAAACAUCUGAUUUUUCCAUUCAGACGCUGGAACACUCUCAUUUUACAAAAUAUAUAAAUCGAUCAAACCGUAUUCUUUGAAACAUUCGAAUCAACCACGUUAUCGAGUCAUUCCACCGUUUGAACGAUAAGAAACCUGAAAAGUAGCAACUGGUAUGUUCAGUGUGAGGCGUAUAGUAUAAUAGUAGUAUAGGCGAGUAAGAGUCAGACAGAUAUUCCAGAUAUAUAUAUAUCGUUGUGAACAAAUUCGGUGAAAGAAUAUAGUAACUGUGUCAGCUAUUUAUAUA
rnacentral:misc_RNA from 1 species